rnacentral:rRNA from 1 species
GUGGGGAAUUUUUCGCAAUGGGGGAAACCCUGACGAAGCAACGCCGCGUGGAGGAUGAAGGCCUUCGGGUCGUAAACUCCUGUCGACCGGGACGAAUGUGCGCGACCUAACACGUCGAUGCAUUGACGGUACCGGUGGAGGAAGCCACGGCUAACUCUGUGCCAGCAGCCGCGGUAAUACAGAGGUGGCUAGCGUUGUUCGGAAUUACUGGGCGUAAAGGGCGCGUAGGCGGCUUUGUAAGUCCUGUGUGAAAUCCCCCGGCUCAACUGGGGAACUGCACAGGAGACUGCAUGGCUCGAGUUCGGGAGAGGGAAGCGGAAUUCCGGGUGUAGCGGUGAAAUGCGUAGAUAUCCGGAGGAACACCGGUGGCGAAGGCGGCUUCCUGGACCGACACUGACGCUGAGGCGCGAAAGCUAGGGUAGCAAACGGGAUUAGAUACCCCAGUAGUCC